AAAACAAUUUGUUCUGUAAAAGGGUUGGAUCCAACGCCCCUAGAAGACUACUAUAGGCUCUCCUUCUCUACUCCUAUUCAAUACGUCUACGACGUGCAGAACGGUAACUUGUCACCUAGAUCCAAGCUUGGGUACACGUAGUGAUGAGUCGUAUGACACAGUGGUAGCACGCACACACAGCAUAGU
rnacentral:ribozyme from 1 species